rnacentral:rRNA from 1 species
UACAGAGGUGGCAAGCGUUGUUCGGAAUUACUGGGCGUAAAGGGCGCGUAGGCGGUCUUGUAAGUCUUGUGUGAAAUCCCUCGGCUCAACUGAGGAACUGCACGGGAUACUGCGAGACUUGAGUUCGGGAGAGGGAAGCGGAAUUCCGGGUGUAGCGGUGAAAUGCGUAGAUAUCCGGAGGAACACCGGUGGCGAAGGCGGCUUCCUGGGUCUCUUCUGACGCUGAGGUACGAAAGCUAGGGGAGCGAACGGG